rnacentral:rRNA from 1 species
AUUGAACGCUGGCGGCAGGCCUAACACAUGCAAGUCGAGCGGAUGAAGGGAGCUUGCUCCUGGAUUCAGCGGCGGACGGGUGAGUAAUGCCUAGGAAUCUGCCUGGUAGUGGGGGAUAACGUCCGGAAACGGGCGCUAAUACCGCAUACGUCCUGAGGGAGAAAGUGGGGGAUCUUCGGACCUCACGCUAUCAGAUGAGCCUAGGUCGGAUUAGCUAGUUGGUGGGGUAAAGGCCUACCAAGGCGACGAUCCGUAACUGGUCUGAGAGGAUGAUCAGUCACACUUGAACUGAGACACGGUCCAGACUCCUAAGGGAGGCAGCAGUGGGGAAUAUUUGACAAUGGGCGAAAGCCUGAUCCAGCCAUGCCGCGUGUGUGAAGAAGGUCUUCGGAUUGUAAAGCACUUUAAGUUGGGAGGAAGGGCAGUAAGUUAAUACCUUGCUGUUUUGACGUUACCAACAGAAUAAGCACCGGCUAACUUCGUG